rnacentral:lncRNA from 1 species
GAUAUCCAAACGGUCCUCCGAUUAUGGCGGCGUCGUCCAUCGUGACAUCAUACGCAUUGGUGCCAGAUUUCCUGUGAAGGUAUGAGAUGCGUUAAAACCAUGACUUCAAAUUUUGCGAAAGCUGCAGUGCAGUUUCAGGAAGUGUGCGCAUGAAUUCGUGCAAUGAGCAUGUUUGUAUGUGAAGGACUUCCUUACCCCCGCUCCUCGAGUGGCAGCGAGUUGCGGGGCCAGGAACACUCGAGCAAACUUAACUUGCAAUGCAAUAAAAGACGUACAGCAAGAGAUUUAUCUUAUAAACUCUAAUGCUCGAUAAGCAGGAAUGACAUCAUCCAGCCGCGCUGGGGGCAGCAAUGACAUCAUCCAGCCGCGCUGGGGGCAGCAAUGACAUCAUCCAGCCGCGCUGGGGGCAGCAAUGACAUCAUCCAGCGACCGGUGGGGUCGUUCGUAUCGUGAUGCAUGUCACGUCUAUAACCCACACAGCUGAGCUCGGUGGAGAACCAGUUAGGCUCGAGAUUAGGAGAAAAAAUUCUAAUUUAGAAUCCGUUUGUUUGAAGGGAAAGUAUUUCCGAAGAAUUAUUUUCUAACUUCAAUUUACAAAAACGUAUUCAUAGAUUAAAAACAAUACGACUUCUCUUUUUAGUAAGAAAGAAAUCACUUUACCUAAAUCAUUAAAUAAAUGAAAACUAACAAUUUUCUUUAAAAAUAAUUUUCAUGAAAAGUAAUUUUUUUUUAUCAUGAAGUUUUCAGUUAAACAAAUACAUGAACUUUUAUCAAACUAAAUUUUGUUGGAUAUCUUUGCAUUUCUGAAAGGUUGGAUGCUUCAUACUCUCAAUCAUUUCAGGUUAUAUUUUUAGCUACUCCACCUUCAAGGACGAUCAAGUGGUGGUCCUCUAACUCCGAAUUGGUAAUGGGAUUGGUUGUGGCAUUAUUAAUCACCUGGGCAUCCAAAGAGCACCUGCUCACAUGCGUAUGUGAAUGCGCAUGCGCAAGCGUACAAGAGUGUUGUAGAUACUUGUAUAUUCCAACGUGUCUAGUGAUCCAU